rnacentral:miRNA from 1 species
CCUCCCAGACCCUCCCACCUCCUGGACAGCAUCCAUUUUGAAGGCAGCUUUAAAAUGGAUGCUGUCCAGGAGAUGGGAGGGUCUGGGAGG